rnacentral:rRNA from 2 species
AGGGGCAAUGGGGGGUGCCUAUACAUGGCAGUCGAGCGAACAGAUGAGAAGCUUGCUUCUCUGAUGUUAGCGGCGGAGGGAGAGGGCACGUGGGUAACCUACCUAUAAGACUGGGAUAACUCCGGGAAACCGGGGCUAAUACCGGAUAAUAUUUUGAACCGCAUGGUUCAAUAGUGAAAGACGGUUUCGGCUGUCACUUAUAGAUGGACCCGCGCCGUAUUAGCUAGUUGGUAAGGUAACGGCUUACCAAGGCGACGAUACGUAGCCGACCUGAGAGGGUGAUCGGCCACACUGGAACUGAGACACGGUCCAGACUCACGGGGAGGGCAGUCAAGUAGGGCAUCUUCCGCAAUUGGCGAAGCCUGACGAGCAACGCGGCUGAGUGGAUGAAAGUCUCCGAUCGUACAGCUUGUGUUAGGGAACGAACCAAAUUGUAGUAACUGAACAAGUUCUGACCGGUAACCUAACCAGAAGGCCACGGCUAACUACGUGCCCAGCCAGACGCGGUAUACGGUAGGUGGCAAGCGUAUCCGGAAAUUAUUGGGGCGGUAAAGCGGCGGCGUAGGCGGUUCUUAAAGUUCUGAUGGUGAAAGCCCCACGGCUCCACCGUGGAGGGGUCAUUGGAAACUGGGAAACCUGAGUGCAGAAGAGGAGAGUGGAAUUCCAUGUGUAGCGGUGAAAUGCGCAGAGAUAUGGAGGAACACCAGUGGCGAAGGCGGCUCUCUGGUCUGUAACUGACGCUGAUGUGCGAUAGCGUGGGGAUCAAACAGGAUUAGAUACCCUGGUAGUCCACGCCGUAAACGAUGAGUGCUAAGUGUUAGGGGGUUUCCGCCCCCUUAGUGCUGCAGCUAACGCAUUAAGCACUCCGCCUGGGGAGUACGACCGCAAGGUUGAAACUCAAAGGAAUUGACGGGGACCCGCACAAGCGGUGGAGCAUGUGGUUUAAUUCGAAGCAACGCGAAGAACCUUACCAAAUCUUGACAUCCUUUGACCGCUCUAGAGAUAGAGUCUUCCCCUUCGGGGGACAAAGUGACAGGUGGUGCAUGGUUGUCGUCAGCUCGUGUCGUGAGAUGUUGGGUUAAGUCCCGCAACGAGCGCAACCCUUAAGCUUAGUUGCCAUCAUUAAGUUGGGCACUCUAGGUUGACUGCCGGUGACAAACCGGAGGAAGGUGGGGAUGACGUCAAAUCAUCAUGCCCCUUAUGAUUUGGGCUACACACGUGCUACAAUGGAUAAUACAAAGGGCAGCGAAUCCGCGAGGCCAAGCAAAUCCCAUAAAAUUAUUCUCAGUUCGGAUUGUAGUCUGCAACUCGACUACAUGAAGCUGGAAUCGCUAGUAAUCGUAGAUCAGCCUGCUACGGUGAAUACGUUCCCGGGUCUUGUACACACUGUUUGUCCCCACGAGAGUUUGUAACACCCGAAGCCGGUGGAGUAACCUUUAGAGCUAGCCGUCGAAAGUGGAACACCUAGUUG